rnacentral:rRNA from 1 species
AUAUUACUAAGGGGAGGAAAAGAAACUAACAAGGAUUCCCCCAGUAACGGCGAGUGAAGCGGGAAGAGCUCAAACUUGGAAUCCGUGAGCAUAACAGCUCACGGAGAUGUAGUCUGGAGACGCUCUCUCAGUGUAAGGCCGGUUAUAAGUCCCUUGGAAUGGGGCAUCAUAGAGGGUGAGAAUCCCGUUUAUGAGCUGGACCUUUGCACGUACGAGGAGCGUUCCGAGAGUCGCGUUGCUUGGGAGUGCAGCGCAAAUUGGGUGGUAAAGUUCAUCUAAAGCUAAAUACCGGCGAGAGACCGAUAGCGCACAAGUA